CACCACAAGAACGCGUGGAGCAUGUGGCUUAAUUUGACUCAACGCGGGAAAUCUUACCGGGUCCGGACACACUGAGGAUUGACAGGCAAUAUAUGUGACUCUUCGGAGUNUGCAUUGUAAAUAUGCUAGUCCUUUCAUGAUUAUGUGAUAGGUGGUGCAUGGCCGUUCUUAGUUCGUGGAGUGAUCUGUCUGCUUAAUUGCGUUUCAAAUUACUUAUAAGGUAGCAAUACGCGAUGAAGCUUUCAAUAGUCCUCACGGAUUCACUUGAGUCUCUCGCUUCGCUAUCCUUUCGAAUGCAACGAACGUGACCGCAACCUCUUGUUGCCUUCGUUUAACAUCCUGCAGCUCGCUGUGGGUACUGAGGGCUUCACUCGGUGAC
rnacentral:rRNA from 1 species